UGCAGCCGCGGACAUCUAAGGGCAUCACAGACCUGUUAUUGCUCAAUCUCGGGUGGCUGAACGCCACUUGUGCCUCUAAGAAGUUGGGGGACGCCAACCGCUCGGGGGUCACAUAACAAGUUAGCAUGCCAGAGUCUCGUUCGUUAUCGGAAUUAACCAGACAAAUCGCUCCACCAACUAAGAACGGCCAUGCACCACCACCCAUGGAAUCGAGAAAGAGCUAUCAAUCUGAAAUCUGAAGAGCACA